AAGACACUAGUAAAAUGAUUACCUUGCCUUGUCGAGGCAAAAUUGUGGGUUAAACCCCCGCGUGUCUUA
rnacentral:tRNA from 2 species